rnacentral:rRNA from 1 species
GGCGGCGUGCUUAACACAUGCAAGUCGAACGGAAAGGCCCUGCUUUUGUGGGGUGCUCGAGUGGCGAACGGGUGAGUAACACGUGAGUAACCUGCCCUUGACUUUGGGAUAACUUCAGGAAACUGGGGCUAAUACCGGAUAGGAGCUCCUGCUGCAUGGUGGGGGUUGGAAAGUUUCGGCGGUUGGGGAUGGACUCGCGGCUUAUCAGCUUGUUGGUGGGGUAGUGGCUUACCAAGGCUUUGACGGGUAGCCGGCCUGAGAGGGUGACCGGCCACAUUGGGACUGAGAUACGGCCCAGACUCCUACGGGAGGCAGCAGUGGGGAAUAUUGCACAAUGGGCGGAAGCCUGAUGCAGCAACGCCGCGUGCGGGAUGACGGCCUUCGGGUUGUAAACCGCUUUCGCCUGUGACGAAGCGUGAGUGACGGUAAUGGGUAAAGAAGCACCGGCUAACUACGUGCCAGCAGCCGCGGUGAUACGUAGGGUGCGAGCGUUGUCCGGAUUUAUUGGGCGUAAAGGGCUCGUAGGUGGUUGAUCGCGUCGGAAGUGUAAUCUUGGGGCUUAACCCUGAGCGUGCUUUCGAUACGGGUUGACUUGGGGAAGGUAGGGGAGAAUGGAAUUCCUGGUGGAGCGGUGGAAUGCGCAGAUAUCAGGAGGAACACCAGUGGCGAAGGCGGUUCUCUGGGCCUUUCCUGACGCUGAGGAGCGAAAGCGUGGGGAGCGAACAGGCUUAGAUACCCUGGUAGUCCACGCUGUAAACGGUGGGUACUAGGUGUGGGGUCCAUUCCACGGGUUCCGUGCCGUAGCUAACGCUUUAAGUACCCCGCCUGGGGAGUACGGCCGCAAGGCUAAAACUCAAAGGAAUUGACGGGGCCCCGCACAAGCGGCGGAGCAUGCGGAUUAAUUCGAUGCAACGCGUAGAACCUUACCUGGGUUUGACAUGGAUCGGGAGUGCUCAGAGAUGGGUGUGCCUCUUUUGGGGUCGGUUCACAGGUGGUGCAUGGCUGUCGUCAGCUCGUGUCGUGAGACGUUGGGUUAAGUCCCGCAACGAGCGCAACCCUUGUUCACUGUUGCCAGCACGUUAUGGUGGGGACUCAGUGGAGACCGCCGGGGUCAACUCGGAGGAAGGUGGGGAUGACGUCAAGUCAUCAUGCCCCUUAUGUCCAGGGCUUCACGCAUGCUACAAUGGCUGGUACAGAGAGUGGCGAGCCUGUGAGGGUGAGCGAAUCUCGGAAAGCCGGUCUCAGUUCGGAUUGGGGUCUGCAACUCGACCUCAUGAAGUCGGAGUCGCUAGUAAUAGCAGAUCAGCAACGCUGCGGUGAAUACGUUCCCGGGGCUUGUACACACCGCCCGUCAAGUCAUGAAAGUUGGUAACACCCGAAGCCGGUGGCCUAACCGUUGUGGGGGAGCCGUCGAAGGUGGGACUGGUGAUUAGGACUAAGU